rnacentral:rRNA from 1 species
CCUAGGGGUGGCAGCAGUGGGGAAUAUUGGGCAAUGGAGGAAACUCUGACCCAGCAACGCCGCGUGAAUGAUGAAGGUCUUCGGAUGGUAAAGUUCUUUUCUAAGGGAAGAAGAAAGUGACGGUACCGUAGGAAUAAGCCUCGGCUAACUACGUGCCAGCAGCCGCGGUAAUACGUAGGAGGCGAGCGUUAUCCGGAAUGACGGGGCGUAAAGGGUGCGUAGGUGGUUUGGCAAGUUAGUAGCGUAACUCCAAGGCUCAACCUUGGAACUCCUACGAAAACUGUUGGACUUGAGUGCAGGCUGGGCCACCGUCAUUCCUCUUGUAGCGGUGUCAUGCGUAGAUAUUAGGAGGCACACCAGUGGCGCAGGCGGGUUGCUAGACUAUACCUGACACUGCGGCACGAACGCGUGGGGAGCCCACAGGAUUAGAUACCCCAGUAGUC